rnacentral:rRNA from 1 species
UACGGAGGGUGCAAGCGUUGUUCGGAAUCACUGGGCGUAAAGGGCGUGUAGGCGGUCCGCUAAGUCUGAUGUGAAAGCCCGGGGCUUACCCCCGGAAGGGCAUUGGAAACUGGCGGACUCGAGUCUCGGAGAGGAAGGUGGAAUUCCUGGUGUAGCGGUGAAAUGCGUAGAUAUCAGGAGGAAUACCGGUGGCGAAGGCGGCCUUCUGGACGAUGACUGACGCUGAGACGCGAAAGCGUGGGGAGCAAACAGG